GCCCUAUAACAUGCAGUCGAGCGGACAGAUGGGAGCUUGCUCCCUGAUGUUAGCGGCGGACGGCCCUUUAACACGUGGGUAACCUGCCUGUAAGACUGGGAUAACUCCGGGAAACCGGGGCUAAUACCGGAUGGUUGUUUGAACCGCAUGGUUCAAACAUAAAAGGUGGCUUCGGCUACCACUUACAGAUGGACCCGCGGCGCAUUAGCUAGUUGGUGAGGUAACGGCUCACCAAGGCAACGAUGCGUAGCCGACCUGAGAGGGUGAUCGGCCACACUGGGACUGAGACACGGCCCAGACUCCUACGGGAGGCAGCAGUAGGGAAUCUUCCGCAAUGGACGAAAGUCUGACGGAGCAACGCCGCGUGAGUGAUGAAGGUUUUCGGAUCGUAAAGCUCUGUUGUUAGGGAAGAACAAGUACCGUUCGAAUAGGGCGGUACCUUGACUGUACCUAACCAGAAAGCCACGGCUAACUACGUUCCAUCAGCC
rnacentral:rRNA from 1 species